rnacentral:lncRNA from 1 species
UAACCAAUGUCUCCAAUUGUGCCCUGUUUAAAAAAAAACAGAUUCUUAUCCAUCAUAUGCAAAUAUAACUAUACUGCCAUAAAAUAAGAAUACUCAUGAAUAGUUUCCAAAUUUUAGAGAACUCAGGUAGAGAGAAAGGUAAAUUUGGGUCACAAAAGUAUACUUUAGAAUCAGAGUUGCUGCCUUCCAAACAAGGAUGUUUGUUCACUGUUGGGAGAAAAGCUGAGUGUUUGGAGAGAAGCUGAGGCGGGCUUGGAACAUGUCCAGGGUCCAGAGAUGAGGCCUCCCACGGAGGCCAAGGCAGGCA